rnacentral:rRNA from 1 species
UACGUAGGGGGCUAGCGUUGUCCGGAAUCACUGGGCGUAAAGGGUGCGUAGGCGGGUCUUUAAGUCAGGGGUGAAAUCCUGGAGCUCAACUCCAGAACUGCCUUUGAUACUGAGGAUCUUGAGUACGGGAGAGGUGAGUGGAACUGCGAGUGUAGAGGUGAAAUUCGUAGAUAUUCGCAAGAACACCAGUGGCGAAGGCGGCUCACUGGCCCGUUACUGACGCUGAGGCACGAAAGCGUGGGGAGCAAACAGG